rnacentral:rRNA from 1 species
UGGGGAAUAUUGCACAAUGGGCGCAAGCCUGAUGCAGCCAUGCCGCGUGUGUGAAGAAGGCCUUCGGGUUGUAAAGCACUUUCAGCGAGGAGGAAGGUGGUGAGCUUAAUACGCUCAUCAAUUGACGUUACUCGCAGAAGAAGCACCGGCUAACUCCGUGCCAGCAGCCGCGGUAAUACGGAGGGUGCAAGCGUUAAUCGGAAUUACUGGGCGUAAAGCGCACGCAGGCGGUUUGUUAAGUCAGAUGUGAAAUCCCCGGGCUCAACCUGGGAACUGCAUUUGAAACUGGCAAGCUAGAGUCUCGUAGAGGGGGGUAGAAUUUCCAGGUGUAGCGGUGAAAUGCGUAGAGAUCUGGAGGAAUACCGGUGGCGAAGGCGGCCCCCCUGGACGAAGACUGACGCUCAGGUGCGAAAGCGUGGGGCAGCAAACAGGAUUAGAUACCCUGGUAGUCCACGCUGUAAACGAUGUCGAUUUGGAGGUUGUGCCCCUUGAGGCGUGG